ensembl:snoRNA
UGCCUUUGUGUGUUGCCCAUUCAUUUUCCUUUAGAUGAAUGUGGUGUCAACUAAGGCGCACAAUAAAUCUUGAAAUAGUCUAAUUUAUGAGAGAACACUCUAAUUGUUCCUCUUGCUUGUGCUAUGACAAGAACAGCG